UCUUAUAUACAUGUCUAUGGCGUUAAUGCACCAGAUCCCAUCAAAACUCCACAGUUAAGCGUGUUUGGGCUAGAGUAGUAAUGGGAUGGGUGACCUCCAGGGAGGUCCUAAUGUUUCACAUGCC
rfam:Picea glauca, whole genome shotgun sequence.